GAGGUGGGAGGGGAGUGCCGGCAGGUAGAACAGGUUUGGGUGGGGCGGUGGAGCUGCGCUCACAGUGAAAGGAGAGAGAGACGCAGAGAAACAGAUUUUCAUUGUUUCCUUCAGUUUGUGACGGAACAGUUUCCAGCAGCAGAGAAGAAGAAGAAGAAGAAGAAGAAGAAGAAGAAGAAGAAGAAGAAGAAGAAGAAACAGAAAAACGGCAGAAGAAGUUUGUGUUUUCCUUCAGGAAGAAGAAGAAGAAGAAGAAGAACCUGCGGAGCUCCGAACAGCUCUCUCGCCCUGACGGCCUCCUGUCUUCUGAUUGGACUGCUGUCUGAUCGAUUGAUUGAUUGAUUGAUUGAUUAGCUCUUCGAUCCUGUGACGCUGCGCCAUGUCUUCAAACAUCAAGGUCUCCCUUGACAACCCCUACGGUGAGGUGACCAUCCCCCGGGCGAAGCUCCGCCCCUCGGAUGACGUCGGCACGGUGAUAGCCAAUCCGGUGGCUAUGAGCAGUACCGAUGGGAACCCGUAUGGCGUGUCGAGCUCCGCCCCCCCACCGCCAUAUAUGGUGAAGGAAGCCGGCGGGGGGGAGGAGGAGGAGGGGGGGAGGUGCCGCGUCUGCUGCUACCGCUGCAGGAGCAGGAAGUGAUGUCACAGUGGCAGGAGGAUUGUGAUUGGCUCUGAUUUAUUUAUUUCCUGUUUUUUUAAGUUGAUGUUUCCUUCCUUUCACCGGGGAAACAAGGAAGCAACGCAGGAAGUGAAGAAGAAGAAGAAAGAACAGAGAAAUAUUAAAAACUACAGAAGAAGGAAAGGUCAUGGAUGUUUCCUCAGUGGCGGCCAUUUUGUGUGUCUAACCAGCUCAAAAUUUAAAAACUACAAAUUGAAUUUUAAUUAAUUUUGAACAACAACUCUAAACUCAAGGUCCACUUACUUAGAAAUUCCCACUGACUGGACACGGCCAGGCAAGAGAACCAUGAGACGAGAUUUAAAAUAAAUAAUAAUAACGACAAUAAACUGUUAAACUGGGAUUUAAAAUGUGGACGUGGGAUCAAUAAAAAGAUUGUUGAAUAAAAUAUAUUUAUAUAUGUUUUUAUUUAACUGACAGAUUAUUAUUAUUAUUUAUUUGUUGGGUUUUCUGAUGUUUCACGUUACGAUGAAUAGGAAUAGGAAAACUUCUGUCGUGAUUUGAGACAUAAAUCAAUAAAACUGCUCAGAUGAUUAGACACAAAAUGGCCGCUGCGGAAGUGAAAGUUCUCUGCGGUUGCCAUGACGACGACACCAGAUGACGAGUUGCUUUGAUGCAGUUUGUGACAUCACAUUUUAUUUUACAGGUUUGUAACAUAAAAUCAAUUAUUAUUGAUUUAUUAUUGGAAAAUCUGCUCUUAACGUUUGUUUUUCACAUUUUUACAAUUAAUCAGCUUAAAGAGCAUUAAUAAUAGAUUAUAAACAUCUAAUAAGGAAACUUUGUUUUUGUUUCUUAAGAUCAGAAAAUGACGAAAUGCCUGUAAAAUGAAAAGUUUCUACAAACUGUAAAAAGUUUAUAAAGUGAUGAAAAUCAUUUGAACAACUGGAUUUUAGCUUUUAGAGUAUUUUUAAUAUGAAGUGAUAUUAUUCCUCUAAGCAGGAAUACAAUGAUCAUACGAACACAUUCUGCUAACGAACAACUGGUUUAGUAUUUUAGACAUAUUUUAUAUUUUAUCCACAUUUUCCUCACGAGUUCGUCUGGGUUUUCAGGAAGUGUUGGAAAGUUUCCGUAAAGUAUUUAUAUUUUUUCAUGACGAUGACUUUGAACAUUUUAGUGUGAAGGAGUUUUUAAAGUAUAAAUAUCGUGAUAAAAUGACACAAAAUAAUCUGUGGAAUCAAAUCAGAAAAUAUUAAAAUCAAACUGUUAAUUUGCUGUAAAAUUGAAGUUUGGUGGAUGAGUUCUUUGAGUUUCUGAUGAAAUAAAGUCUUUUCAAACACAUGAA